ACAAUAACAAAAAGUUGAGUAUUAUUAACCAUAUAAAAAACGAUUGAAAACAUAUAAAAGGUAAAACACACAUCAUGUAAGGAAUAAACCUCGAAAAUAGAAAGGUAUAAUUGAAGAUAGAGAUAAGCUUAUACAGUAAAAAUUCUACAAAUUAAGGAUGUUGAGAUUAUGGUAUUUUAUUAUUUUAUAGAGUUACUAAUUUUGUAUAAAUUUCAUUUUAGAUUUUUUGUUUUACAAGAUGUGUUUUGUAUAAAUUAAAAAAUAUUGAUUUUACCAUAUAUGCAUUAAUUAAAUUUCUUUGAUGUAUAUAAAAUAUGUUUUAAAAGUGGUAUAAGUAAAAUUUCUCCUUUAUAGAAUUUAAAUGUAGUUUACAUUAAAUUUUAUUAAAUAUUAUCAAAAUAUAUUGAAGUGUUAAGAAAAGUAAAGAUGAAUUACAUUGUGAAUAUAAAACAUAUAAUAUAAUGUUUUAUUAUACUUAUAUAAAUAUUAUGUAUAUAAAUAAUUAAUUUAUGAUUUUAAUGAACUAUAUAUUUACAAAAAAAAUUCAAAACUUUUAUUAUUUAUUAUUUUAUCAGUUUAUGUCGUAUUUUAAAUCGAUUCAAUUUGAAAACAAAAAAUAUUAUAGUGUUUAUUAAUUUAUUGAUUAUUAAUUUAUAGAUUUUCUACUGUAUUUAAAUAUACAAUAGAAAAAUAUGCAUUCGAAAAUGAAAUUUAAUAAAUAUAUUUUAUUGUAGGUCCAUAUUUGUGCGGCAGACUAUAUAUGAUGAGAAACAAAUACUUUCAUAAAAUUAUUUGCCAUUAAAAAGUGGAAAGAAAAUUAUGUUGGUAACAAAUAUUAGUCCUAAAAUAAUAAUGACUAGGAAAAAACAUUACUUAACCAUAUCUAAUAUAGUUCAAUAACUAAUUAAAAACAAUGUAGAAAAUUAGUUAUAGCCUAAACACCAAUAAUAAGAUUUUACUUUAAUAAAUCCAUCAAUAUUACUCAAAAUUUUAAAUAAGAAUUACCAAAAAAUAGAAAAUAAUAUAAUAUGCAGUCAAUGAAAAUUAAAGACUUGGAUGAAAAAAUCACGUCAGAGUAAUUUUGCAUUUGGAAUGUUAGUAAUGCUACUCAUUUUCUGUUUUGAGAAUUGUAUAGCUAUUGUAUAACUCUCUAAACCUAGAAAAAGAUGAAAAUCAUUUAAUAAAAAUUUAUAAAAAUAAUCUCAAACAAAAGAAUACACAUAAUAAUAAAAACAAAAAGUAACAAAUGUAAAAAAUAUAAAUCCAUUGUAUAUCUUUAAACCUUGAAAUAAAACAAAAAUGAUGAAAAUUAUUUAUUAAAAAAAUAUAAAAAUAAUCUCAAACAAAUUACAUAUUAAUCGACAGUCGGAAGCCACAGCUUCUACUGCUUGUGCCCAUGACCGGCUUGCAGCAGACCUAAACAUAAUAAAGGUAUUUUUAAUUAAAAUUAGAACUUUUCACUUCCACAAUUUUUUAAAGCUUUUCUGAUAAAUUAUUCUAUUCACAGAUUUACAAUGCCCAACAUAUCCACCAAACGAUGGUACAAUCAAAUAAGGACUUACACAGAGUCUCUACCCAGUUAUACAAGUAUGUAUCUUUUUUAUAUAAAUAACUAUGGUUUGGUAUAUAAUAUAAUUUAAGUUAACUAAUUUAAUUUUUACCAAUUUUAGGCUAUUUCUUUUUAUGGUCCACAUCAAACCUUACGUUCUUCAAAAGACUUGAUCUCCUUUUUAUAUUACUUAUGAUUAGUUAAACUACUCUUUUUUGUUUUUAAACAAUUGCAUAAACUUGAUAUUCACCAUUUUUUCAUCAUUUUGGAAAAUACAAUGUUCCCAUUAAGCUACUCUUUUUGUUUUUAAACAAUUGCAUAAAUUUGAUAUUCACCAAUUUUUCCAUCAUUUUGGAAAAUACAAUGCUUCCAUUCAAAACAAAAAAAAUGAAACUUAUAAUCAGAAAAUUAACUAUCAACACACUUUUCCGCGCGUAGCGCGGACAAAGACUCUAGUCACAAUACUAAAAUGGAGAUAUCUAGAGUUUUUAGGGUAUCCACGUAAGCAUAUAAAUUCAAGCCAAUUAUAAGUCAAGAAUGUGCCAUGUCAUCAAAUUCAUUCGUAACUUUUACAUGUCGAUUGGCCUCCGGCCAAGAGCAAAAUAAUUUUCUCGAUUCACCUUCUUCCACAAGCCGUAAUAUCUCUCACCUUUUCUAAAUGUAAAUUCACCUCCUUAUCUCAAGAAAUCUAAGCCGAUUGCUGGUUCUGCCUCUCAGAAGAACAUCCAGUAUCUGAGCACGGAAGCUGUGAUCUCAACUCCAGGUAAAUUCAAUAAUCGUAUUAGGUUGUUCAACCAUUACAGACCAAGCAAAAGCUAAGGAGCCAAAAGAAAUCGUAUUAGGUUGAUGCCAUUGAUGACCGUGUAAUCAAUCUAUACAAAACCAAUCACGUCCUCUUCUCGAAACAUUCCUCUGCUCACAAUUCGGUACGACGAAUCUCUCUCUGCCGUGAAGAAGACCCUCGAAGGAAAACCAGAUUCGGCCAAGGGUUAAAGUUGGUGCUGAUCUCUUAGUCUUCAAUAAGUGCUAAAAGCUGCCAAUGAGUAUAGUAGGAGCUUAACAUCACAAUACUAGGCAGCUUUGAGAGGCUUAUGAGAAUGUUGGAAACCACAGGAAAGAGAGUAUCCAGAUUGAAGCUUUUAGUCAGUAGACACAGAGAAAGACGAAGAAUACUUUUAUGCUGAUGGGAACUUUGUAGAAUAUGUUAGAGACAAGGAAGUCAAGGAUGCAUGUCCUGAA